rnacentral:rRNA from 1 species
AUUGAACGCUAGCGGGAUGCCUUACACAUGCAAGUCGAACGGAGUGGCGAACGGGUGAGUAAUGUAUCGGAACGUGCCCAGUAGCGGGGGAUAACUACGCGAAAGCGGAGCUAAUACCGCAGAAUAUUGGAGCGGCCGAGGUCGGAUUAGCUAGAUGGUGGGGGAACGGCUCACCAAGGCGACGAUCCGUAGCUGGUUUGAGAGGACGACCAGCCACACUGGGACGGAGACACGGCCCAGACUCCGACGGUAGGCAGCAGUGGGGAAUUUUGGACAAUGGGGGAAACCCUGAUCCAGCCACCCCGCGUGUGCGAUGAAGGCCUUCGGUUUGUAAAGCACUGUUGGCAGGAAAGCGGUACCUGCAGAAUAAGCACCGGCUAACUACGUGCCAGCAGCCGCGGUAAUUC